rnacentral:rRNA from 1 species
AGAGUUUGAUCCUGGCUCAGGAUGAACGCUGGCGGCGUGCUUAACACAUGCAAGUCGAACGGUUAAACCGCACUUGUGCGGACAUAAAGUGGCGAACGGGUGAGUAACACGUGACCAACCUGCCCCGUGCAUCGGGACAACCGCCGGAAACGGCGGCUAAUACCGGAUAACGCUUGAAGGCCGCAUGGCCUCCAAGCCAAAGCUUUCGCGGCACGGGAUGGGGUCGCGGCCCAUCAGGUAGUAGGCGGGGUAGCGGCCCACCUAGCUUUCGACGGGUAGCCGGACUGAGAGGUCGAUCGGCCACAUUGGGACUGAGAUACGGCCCAGACUCCUACGGGAGGCAGCAGUGGGGAAUUUUGCGCAAUGGGGGAAACCCUGACGCAGCAACGCCGCGUGCGGGAUGAAGGCCUUCGGGUCGUAAACCGCUUUCAGCAGGGAAGAAACAUGACGGUACCUGCAGAAGAAGCCCCGGCUAAAUACGUGCCAGCAGCCGCGGUAAUACGUAUGGGGCAAGCGUUAUCCGGAUUCAUUGGGCGUAAAGCGCGCGUAGGCGGGCGCCUAAGCGGGACCUCUAAUCCGAAGGCUCAACCUUGCGGUCGGGUUCCGAACUGGGCGCCUCGAGUUGGGUAGGGGAGGUCGGAAUUCCCGGUGUAGCGGUGGAAUGCGCAGAUAUCGGGAAGAACACCGAUGGCGAAGGCAGGCCUCUGGGCCUUAACUGACGCUGAGGCGCGAAAGCUAGGGGAGCGAACAGGAUUAGAUACCCUGGUAGUCCUAGCCGUAAACGAUGGCGCUAGGUGUGG